rnacentral:lncRNA from 1 species
AUGCCAAGAAAAGGUCAAAGGUCGCAGUCCCAGAAGCUUAGAUGGCAAAAGCAGAAAGAACAGGUAAAUGUUUCUCAGAGCGGUGAGGAGGUAAAGGUGUCUGUUACAAGUAUUCCCAGUCCAGAAGUGCAGAGCAGCGUUCAGACAGCCGCAGUGUCUUAUGCAGAUGUGGUAAAGAGAGGUGUUCGCUCAGCAUGUGUGCCAAAUGCUAAAGUACAGCAGGUAAUCCAGACUGAACCCCAGGUAACUGUGCAAACGCAGCAUGAUGGAGAAGCUCCAGGACUGUCUCAUGUACAGGUUACAAACAGUGAAAGUCAUCCACGAGUGAGUAGCAUCUGUGCGUCCCGAAGCCAGGCUUCUCCUAGGUAUGGAAAGUACAGGAAUCAGCAAUGCAUGGCUAACAGUUUGGUUUUCCUGUCAUUCUUACACGAGGAUGAGUUCAUUACCAGAGCAGAUCUAAACCGUGUGUUGGACAAAGGCCAUGUCGUGUAUUCAGAUGCCAGAAAGAGGUUUGUGAACAGUGUGUUUCUAGCCUGUGAUGAGCUUCCCACAGUAGUCACCUGCCGCAGACACGAGUAUCAAGUGGAUAUGUCUCAGUUUGCUCGUUAUGGCACAUUUGAUGGUACAGAUCAUCUUCAGAGCCUUAAACAGGGACUACAGUGUUUGGCUUCAGAGGUUCGUUACGCUUUGCUAGUAAUGGGAGGAACGGUCAUCGCAGUUUGCAGGCUGACUUCAGGUGAACACGCAUACUUUGACCCUCACCCACGUAGGUCUACAGGAAUGCCAUUGUCGCUAGCUGUAAGUGGUGGAACUGCAGUUAUGUUAAAAUUCACACGUCUUAAUGACAUGACUGACAGGAUCAAACGCUUGUACCAAAUAUUUAGCAUUGCCUCAGCCUGCACUUAUGAGCUACAGCCUGUCGAGUUUCACGGUGAAAACGCUGCUGACCAAAGAGGUGAUAAUCAAACCACCGAAAACAGACAACCUGCUACAAGUGCUCCAGCAUCAGCUUUAAAUGAUCCUGUUCAUAAAUUAAAGUUCCAAACAUCCACUGAGCAGACACAGAAAACUGUGACCAACACUUUAACCACUGAAGUGAAGUCAUCCAGAGUGGAUUCUUCAAAUGAGCCAACUACAACUGAAAACAACCGUCAUCCUUCUGAUUAUUUACAAAAGGAAACAUCUGCAUUUUCUGUGAGAGAAACUCAGAUAACAUCAGAUUCUGUUCCUCAGAAUGAUUCAAACACUGCCUCCUGUUCAACUAAGAUAACAGAGGAACUCUCAGAUAAACUGCUGAAACGUAAUAAACACCGAAGGGAAAAAUUUAGGAGAAGAUCAUUGGCC